rnacentral:rRNA from 1 species
AUGUGUAGGAUAGGUGGGAGGCUUUGAAGUGUGGACGCCAGUCUGCAUGGAGCCGACCUUGAAAUACCACCCUUUAAUGUUUGAUGUUCUAACGUUGACCCGUAAUCCGGGUUGCGGACAGUGUCUGGUGGGUAGUUUGACUGGGGCGGUCUCCUCCUAAAGAGUAACGGAGGAGCACGAAGGUUGGCUAAUCCUGGUCGGACAUCAGGAGGUUAGUGCAAUGGCAUAAGCCAGCUUGACUGCGAGCGUGACGGCGCGAGCAGGUGCGAAAGCAGGUCAUAGUGAUCCGGUGGUUCUGAAUGGAAGGGCCAUCGCUCAACGGAUAAAAGGUACUCCGGGGAUAACAGGCUGAUACCGCCCAAGAGUUCAUAUCGACGGCGGUGUUUGGCACCUCGAUGUCGGCUCAUCACAUCCUGGGGCUGAAGUAGGUCCCAAGGGUAUGGCUGUUCGCCAUUUAAAGUGGUACGCGAGCUGGGUUUAGAACGUCGUGAGACAGUUCGGUCCCUAUCUGCCGUGGGCGCUGGAGAAUUGAGGGGGGCUGCUCCUAGUACGAGAGGACCGGAGUGGACGCAUCACUGGUGUUCGGGUUGUCAUGCCAAUGGCACUGCCCGGUAGCUAAAUGCGGAAGAGAUAAGUGCUGAAAGCAUCUAAGCACGAAACUUGCCCCGAGAUGAGUUCUCCCUGACUCCUUGAGAGUCCUGAAGGAACGUUGAAGACGACGACGUUGAUAGGCCGGGUGUGUAAGCGCAGCGAUGCGUUGAGCUAACCGGUACUAAUGAACCGUGAGGCUUAACCUUACAACGCCGAAG